rnacentral:rRNA from 1 species
GACGAACGCUGGCGGCGUGCUUAACACAUGCAAGUCGAACGGAAAGGCCCUGCUUUUGUGGGGUGCUCGAGUGGCGAACGUGUGAGUAACACGUGAGUAACCUGCCCUUGACUUUGGUAUAACUUCAGGAAACUGGGUCUAAUACCUGAUAGGAGCUCCUGCUGCUUGGUGUGGGUUGGUAAGUUUCGGCGGUUGGGGAUGGUCUCGCGGCUUAUCCGCUUGUUGGUGGGGUAGUGGCUUACCAAGGGUUUGACGGGUAGCCGGCCUGAGAGGGUGACCGGCGACAUUGGGACUGAGAUACGGCACAGACGCCAACGGGAGGCAGCAGUGGGGAAUAUUGCACAAUGGGCGGAAGCAUGAUGCAGAAACGCAGCGUGCGGGAUGACGGCCUUCGGGUUGUAAACCGAUUUCGCCUGUGACGAAGCGUGAGUGACGGUAAUGGGUAAAGAAGCACCGGCUAACUACGUG